UGUCACAGUGAACUGGUCAAAGGCUCUGAGCACCUGACUUUUGUGGGGGUGUUAGAAGAGAAUGGUGACCUUCCACUGGGUUAUACACAAACCAGAAAAUCUAGGUUGGCUUCUGAGAAUUGUGAAGACUCAUUUCAAGUCUGGAGUCCCGGUCCACAGUGGGUCCCCAUGGACUAGACUUUAAUGUAGAACAAGGGCAUUACGGAGUCUGAACUUCAUAUAUAGCUGAGGAUGUUCGUGAACCAGGAUCUUCCUAACUCUACCUCCCAAGUGCUGGGAUCACAGGCACGUGUCAACAUAACCUGGUUUAUUAUGUUGUUGUUCAUUGCAAGGUCUACCUGCAUGCCUGAAGCCUCCAAUGUUCCCUCGCUGCAGUUGACCGGAUGUGGUUCCCACUUCCGAGUUGUCCUCCAUACUUCAGGCCAAACCCCAGGGAGGGAUGGCCAGGAGACACUCAAGUUUGUUUAUGUGUCUAGACUGGAUGCCUCUUGGUCAUCACGGUGCCACUGAUGUCACGGUCAUCAUUAUCACUGUCGUCAUCACGGCCCUCUUCCUCGUGGUUGUUUCUGACAGGUGCUGAUGUUACAGUGACGAAAAAGCAAUGAAUACACCAAGUACUGACCUACAGAAUAUCAACUCUGUGACAGAAUGAAAUCCAUUAGUUUAAUAGAAAAAAGAAAAAUAAAAGCUUGAAAGUCCCCUACAGAUAAAAGUGUCAAAAAUUUUUUAAAA